rnacentral:rRNA from 1 species
AGGGGGUGAAAUUCCACGUCUCAACCGUGGACCUGCCUUCUAGACUGCCGAACUGGGGCACGGUAGAGGCAGAUGGAAUUCCCGGUGUAGCGGUGGAAUGCGUAGAGAUCGGGAAGAACACCAGUGGCGAAGGCGGUCUGCUGGGCCGUUGCUGACGCUGAGGCGCGACAGCGUGGGGAGCAAACAGG